CCGGAUAUUCAUUGCAGCGUGAUUUAGAGUCAUUGAAGUUUUGAGUUUCCAAAUGGAUGAAGUACAAGAAUUUUUAGGAAAUAAUAGACUUGAAGACGUGCGUUGGCUCUGUACCUUGUCUGAGUCUGAGCUUGAUAUGCUGAUUAGCUUGAAAAUGCUGGUCAUUCAACGUGCCAAAGCAUUGGGUCACAAGCAGCUAGCUAUGAAAUUUGAUCUGAAGAUGCUUAGAAUUCUUGCACUUGUGUUGAUGGAAUAUCUGAAAGGAAAUGUUGAAAAUUUAUCUCAUAUUCCGGGCAUGGCCAAAGCUCCUGAUUUCAUUGAUGGUUGCUGUUUAUCUCAAUGUAAGCUUGAGGCCAUCUUGAGCAUUGAGGAGCUAAAGGCAUGUAUUGGUAUUGAUAAGAGCAAAAAACCAGCUAAAAGACCACGUGAAGAGGCUGCAGUCAAACAGAAGAAAUAAUUGGAAAAAAAAAAUUAUGUAAGCCAAUCAAAGUUAUGAUCAUGUUUAUUGAUCCUGC
rnacentral:misc_RNA from 1 species